rnacentral:rRNA from 1 species
CACGUAGGGUGCGAGCGUUGCUCGGAAUCACUGGGCGUAAAGCGCACGUAGGCGGACUCUUAAGUCGGUGGUGAAAUCCUGGAGCUCAACUCCAGAACUGCCUUCGAUACUGGGAGUCUCGAGUUCGGGAGAGGUGAGUGGAACUGCGAGUGUAGAGGUGAAAUUCGUAGAUAUUCGCAAGAACACCAGUGGCGAAGGCGGCUCACUGGCCCGAUACUGACGCUGAGGUGCGAAAGCGUGGGGAGCAAACAGG